rnacentral:rRNA from 1 species
AGCGAACGCUGGCGGCAGGCCUAACACAUGCAAGUCGAGCGGGCAUCCUUGUGGUGUCAGCGGCAGACGGGUGAGUAACGCGUGGGAAUGUGCCCUUCGGUUCGUAAUAACUCAGGGAAACUUGCGCUAAUAAAGGAUACGUGCGAGAGCAGAAAGGUUUAUAUGCCGAAGGUUCGGACCGCGUCUGAUUAGCUAGUUGGUGAGGUUAUGGCUCACCAAGGCGACGAUCAGUAGCUGGUCUGAGAGGAUGAUCAGCCACACUGGGACUGGGACACGGCCCAGACUCCUACGGGAGGCAGCAGUGGGUAAUAUUGGACAAUGGGGGCAACCCUGAUCCAGCCAUGCCGCUUGAGUGAUGACGGCCUUAGGGUUGUAAAGCUCUUUUCUCCGGGACGAUAAUGACGGUACCGGAGGAAUAAGCCCCGGCUAACUUCGUG